rnacentral:rRNA from 1 species
CACGUAGGGCGCAAGCGUUGUCCGGAAUCAUUGGGCGUAAAGAGCGUGUAGGCGGCUUGGUAAGUCCGCUGUGAAAGUCCAGGGCUCAACCCUGGAAUGCCGGUGGAAACUGUCAAGCUUGAGUCCGGAAGAGGCGAGUGGAAUUCCUGGUGUAGCGGUGAAAUGCGCAGAUAUCAGGAAGAACACCAAUGGCGAAGGCAGCUCUCUGGGACGGUACUGACGCUGAGACGCGAAAGCGUGGGGAGCGAACAGG